rnacentral:rRNA from 1 species
AUUGAACGCUGGCGGCAUGCUUUACACAUGCAAGUCGAACGGCAGCGCGGGCUUCGGCCUGGCGGCGAGUGGCGAACGGGUGAGUAAUACAUCGGAACGUGCCCAGUAGUGGGGGAUAGCUCGGCGAAAGCAGGAUUAAUACCGCAUACGACCUGAGGGUGAAAGCGGGGGAUCUUCGGACCUCGCGCUAUUGGAGCGGCCGAUGGCAGAUUAGCUAGUUGGUGGGGUAAAGGCCUACCAAGGCGACGAUCUGUAGCUGGUCUGAGAGGACGACCAGCCACACUGGGACUGAGACACGGCCCAGACUCCUACGGGAGGCAGCAGUGGGGAAUUUUGGACAAUGGGCGAAAGCCUGAUCCAGCAAUGCCGCGUGUGUGAUGAAGGCCUUCGGGUUGUAAAGCACUUUUGGCGGGAACGAAAAGGACUGUGCCAAUACCACGGUUCGAUGACGGUACCCGCAGAAUAAGCACCGGCUAACUACGUG